GACGAACGCUGGCGGCGUGCCUAAUACAUGCAAGUCGAGCGGACUUUCAAGAAGCUUGCUUUUUGAAAGUUAGCGGCGGACGGGUGAGUAACACGUGGGCAACCUGCCUGUAAGACGGGGAUAACUCCGGGAAACCGGGGCUAAUACCGGAUAAUAUCUUUCUUCGCAUGAAGGAAGGUUGAAAGGCGGCGCAAGCUGCCGCUUGCAGAUGGGCCCGCGGCGCAUUAGCUAGUUGGUGAGGUCACGGCUCACCAAGGCGACGAUGCGUAGCCGACCUGGGAGGGUGAUCGGCCACACUGGGACUGAGACACGGCCCAGACUCCUACGGGAGGCAGCAGUAGGGAAUCUUCCGCAAUGGACGAAAGUCUGACGGAGCAACGCCGCGUGAGCGAAGAAGGUCUUCGGAUCGUAAAGCUCUGUUGUCAGGGAAGAACAAGUGCCGUUCGAAUAGGGCGGUACCUUGACGGUACCUGACCAGAAAGCCACGGCUAACUACGUGCCAGCCGCCGCCGUAA
rnacentral:rRNA from 1 species